rnacentral:rRNA from 1 species
ACGCACGCUGGCGGCGUGCCUCAUACAUGCAAGUAGAACGCUGAAGGAGGAGCUUGCUUCUCUGGAUGAGUUGCGAACGGGUGAGUAACGCGUAGGUAACCUGCCUGGUAGCGGGGGAUAACUAUUGGAAACGAUAGCUAAUACCGCAUAAUAGUAGAUGUCGCAUGACAUUUGCUUAAAAGGUGCAAUUGCAUCACUACCAGAUGGACCUGCGUUGUAUUAGCUAGUUGGUGAGGUAACGGCUCACCAAGGCAACGAUACAUAGCCGACCUGAGAGGGUGAUCGGCCACACUGGGACUGAGACACGGCCCAGACUCCUACGGGAGGCAGCAGUAGGGAAUCUUCGGCAAUGGACGGAAGUCUGACCGAGCAACGCCGCGUGAGUGAAGAAGGGUUUCGGAUCGUAAAGCUCUGUUGUAAGAGAAGAACGAGUGUGAGAGUGGAAAGUUCACACUGUGACGGUAGCUUACCAGAAAGGGACGGCUAACUACGUG